CAGCCGCCGCGGGAAUACGAAGGGGGCUAGCGUUGCUCGGAAUUACUGGGCGUAAAGGGCGCGUAGGCGGACAGUUCAGUCGGGGGUGAAAGCCCGGGGCUCAACCUCGGAAUUGCCUUCGAUACUGGCUGUCUUGAGUGUGAGAGAGGUGUGUGGAACUCCGAGUGUAGAGGUGAAAUUCGUAGAUAUUCGGAAGAACACCAGUGGCGAAGGCGACACACUGGCUCACUACUGACGCUGAGGCGCGAAAGCGUGGGGAGCAAACAGGAUUAGAUACCCCAGUAGUCCCUGUCUCUUAUAC
rnacentral:rRNA from 1 species